rnacentral:rRNA from 1 species
UACGAAGGGGGCUAGCGUUGCUCGGAAUUACUGGGCGUAAAGGGCGCGUAGGCGGGUUAUCAAGUUGGAGGUGAAAGCCCAGGGCUCAACCUUGGAAUUGCCUUCAAAACUGAUAGCCUAGAGUAUGAUAGAGGUAAGUGGAACUCCGAGUGUAGAGGUGAAAUUCGUAGAUAUUCGGAAGAACACCAGUGGCGAAGGCGACUUACUGGAUCAUGACUGACGCUGAGGCUCGAAAGCAUGGGGGGCAAACAGG